rnacentral:tRNA from 1 species
AGUAAAGUGCCUGAAUAAAAGGGUUAUCGUGAUAGGAUAAAUUAUGUAAGCCUUUCUUACCUUUACUA